UACUCACAAUUUAUGAAACUUCAAAAAAUUAUAUUAUUAUCUGUCAAAAGUGGUUUAUUGAAACUACUUACCUUUUUUUUUAUCAUGCAAACUACC